GAAUCCUCAUCAAGCCACUUCUGUGUGCAGUAGCAUGAAGAGGUCUGAGGAAGCUGUGCGUCCCUCAAGAAAGCAAUUCUUUAUUGCCCAUCAAAGAUGAAUCCAUAGGGGAUCAUUAACAAGGAGAUCAUCCCAGAGAGCAGCUUCUAGAAUCACCAACCAAGCAGAAGAUUUGUCAGAAGAACAAAGACCUCAAAAUGAGAAGGAAUGUGUUCUGGACUUAAAACAUUGCUCAUGAAAUAAAGAAAUAAAGAAAACAAACAAGUAAAUAAAAACAAGAUCUUUAUGGAUGUGGCAGAAAGCUUUGCAAGCCAAGAAAGUCUUCUAUCCAGGUGAUGCAAAUAACUGUAAAACUUCAGACUUCUUGAACUACAAAGAUGAACUCUGCCAACCCAAGUUCUAGUACUUCCUCUACUCCCAGCCUGACCCCCACUGUUUCUUGGUUUCCUCACUCCUUCUCUUUCUGUUUGACUCUUGAGAGUAAUAAACUCAGCCAAGUCCUACUACUUGAGCCCAUAUUUAAAUGCAGAACAAU
rnacentral:lncRNA from 1 species